CAGCCAAGUCGUGAGGCGGAGCUAANCCCUUAAAGCCAUUCUCAGUUCGGAUUGUAGGCUGAAACUCGCCUACAUGAAGCUGGAGUUACUAGUAAUCGCAGAUCAGAAUGCUGCGGUGAAUGCGUUCCCGGGUCUUGUACACACCGCCCGUCACACCACGGAAGUUGGGGGCGCCCGAAGCCACUUAGCUAACCCAUUUGGGAAGCGAGUGUCGAAGGUGAAAUCAAUAACUGGGGUGAAGUCGUAACAAGGUACC
rnacentral:rRNA from 1 species